rnacentral:rRNA from 1 species
GGGUUGUGAGGUUAAGCGACUAAGCGUACACGGUGGAUGCCCUGGCAGUCAGAGGCGAUGAAGGGCGUGCUAAUCUGCGAUAAGCGCCGGUAAGGUGAUAUGAACCGUUAUAACCGGCGAUACCCGAAUGGGGAAACCCAGUGUGACUCGUCACACUAUCAUUAACUGAAUCCAUAGGUUAAUGAGGCGAACCGGGGGAACUGAAACAUCUAAGUACCCCGAGGAAAAGAAAUCAACCGAGAUUCCCCCAGUAGCGGCGAGCGAACGGGGAGGAGCCCAGAGCCUGAAUCAGCAUGUGUGUUAGUGGAAGCGUCUGGAAAGGCGCGCGAUACAGGGUGACAGCCCCGUACACAAAAGCGCAUGUGCUGUGAGCUCGAUGAGUAGGGCGGGACACGUGGUAUCCUGUCUGAAUAUGGGGGGACCAUCCUCCAAGGCUAAAUACUCCUGACUGACCGAUAGUGAACCAGUACCGUGAGGGAAAGGCGAAAAGAACCCCGGCGAGGGGAGUGAAAAAGAACCUGAAACCGUGUACGUACAAGCAGUGGGAGCCCCACCACCAAAGCAUUUGCUGUACCGCGUUGACGGAGCGAAGCGACGUCAA